rnacentral:rRNA from 1 species
UACGAAGGGUGCAAGCGUUGUUCGGAUUUAUUGGGCGUAAAGCGCGCGCAGGCGGGUCAUUAAGUCAGAUGUGAAAUCUCAGGGCUCAACCCUGAAACUGCGUCUGAAACUGAUAAUCUAGAAUGUCGGAGAGGGAAGGGGAAUUUCACAUGUAGGGGUAAAAUCCGUAGAUAUGUGAAGGAAUACCAGAGGCGAAGGCGCCUUCCUGGACGAUGAUUGACGCUGAGGCGCGAAAGCGUGGGGAGCAAACAGG